GNUNCCUNAACGCCGGCGGCGUNCCUAACACAUGCANGUCGAACGAGAAAGUCCCUUCGGGGGCGANUAAAGUGGCGCAAGGGUGAGUAACGCGUGAAUAAUCUGUCUCUGAAACUGGAAUAACCUCUCGAAAGAGGUGUUAAUGCCGGAUAAGACUACGUCCGUUCAUCGGAUGGGGUAAAAGAUUGUGCAAGCUUUCGUUUAGAGGUGAGUUCGCGUACCAUUAGCUUGUUGGUAGGGUAAUGGCCUACCAAGGCUUCGAUGGGUAGCCGGCCUGAGAGGGUGAUCGGCCACACUGGGACUGAGAUACGGCCCANACUCCUACGGGAGGCAGCAGUAGGGAAUAUUGCGCAAUGGACNAAAGUCUGACGCANCAACGCCGCGUGGAUGAUGAACAUCUUGGUGUGUAAAAUCCUGUCANUGGGGAAAAACNUAUUGUANNACUGCCAUCCUNACNGACCCCANAAGAANUCCGCUAACUCC
rnacentral:rRNA from 1 species